AGUCCAUUAUUUGCUUUUGUCCUUCAGGAAAAGGUGAGUGGAUCGUAUAUCAUCACUAUUCACCCAAACAGUUAACCCUAAACUUUUCACCUGUCCUUUAAUACAGUCAAUUCCAAGCUAAUUUUUUUCCAUUAUUAAGAGGGGACCCAGGAUCAUUUAAAAUAUUAUUCUACUUUCUACAAAUACAUCCCCCAUCUUAGAGCUUUAGCUACUAGAGAAAGUCUUUGGAUUUUGGGGUCAGAGGAGUUGCAAGUCUAAACUUUCAUACCCUUCUCUUUAGGAUGUGUGAUUUUUCUCUCUUUGUCUAAACCAAUCUAAAUUUCCAUAGAUGGUCCUGACUCUGGGUGGAUCUAACAAGGAUCCUGGAACUCCAGUUCUGCUUUUUGGAUUUACCGGGAACUUCCCAGUCCAGACGAUUGGAAUUACAGCAUUAUACUUUGACUGGUAUGAUCUUCUGCUUUCGGGAACGCUGCGAGGAGCUUUGUGAGUCGAGGG